rnacentral:rRNA from 1 species
GACGUAGGGUGCGAGCGUUGUCCGGAUUUAUUGGGCGUAAAGAGCUCGUAGGCGGCUUGUCGCGUCGACUGUGAAAACCCGCGGCUCAACUGUGGGCUUGCAGUCGAUACGGGCAGGCUGGAGUUCGGUAGGGGAGACUGGAAUUCCUGGUGUAGCGGCGAAAUGCGCAGAUAUCAGGAGGAACACCGGUGGCGAAGGCAGGUCUCUGGGCCACUACUGACGCUGAGAAGCGAAAGCAUGGGGAGCGAACAGG